rnacentral:lncRNA from 1 species
UGGGGCUCACUUUGAACCCCACUGCUUGAGGAAUAGAGGCAGAUGGACCUCUGAGUUUGGGGCCAUCCUGCUCUCCAUAGUGAGUGCCAGGUCAGCCAGGUCAGCCGGUGCUAUAUAGUGAGACCCUGUCUCAACCCCCCCCCCAAAAAAAACCCAAAACAAAGGACAAGCUGUUGCUGGGUUUGCUAUUUAAUGAACUGCAGGUCUAAGGCAGUUAGUUGUGAGGACAAUAGUUGCUGGCUUAGCUUUGUUUUUUUCAUAACUCAUGUGACAUUUGAGCAUCUGUAUUGGAAUCUGUCCCUUCUCCCCUUUCUAUCUCUCCCUCCCUCCUCCUCUCCUCCUCCAUCUCUCUCUUUUGACAGGGCCUCUGUGUAAUCCUGACGGUUCUGGAGUUUGCUGUGUAGUCCCAGGCUGGCCCCAAACUCACAGAGAUCUUCCUGCCUCUGAUUCCUGAUUGAUGGGAUCAAAGGCACGCAAUACCAUGCCUGGAACCGCAACUGCCUUCUCUUGACAAGGUCUUAUGGAGCUCAGGCUAACCUUGAACGUGCUGUAUAACUGAGGAGGAUCUUGAAUUUCGGAGUCUCUCUACCUCCAGUGCUGGGAUUGCAGGCUUGUGCCACUCUGCCUGUUUUCUGUGGUGCCCAGGAUCAAAUCCAAUUCUUUGAGCCAGGGAAGCAGUUAACCAAGUGGGCUACACCCCCAGCCAAGAAUUGGCUAUUUGAAAGAGGGCUUGGAUUCAGCUUGUCUCUGUUUGAUUUUUCAGUUCGGAUAUUUGGGAGGGAAUUUAGGUAUUAGAGCUGACCAAAGUUACCUUGUUUAAAGUAGCCUUUAAAGUGGGCUUUUGUUUAAAUUGCAGGGCUUUAUAGAGCAUGGAGAAGCUCAAAGAUCAGUGUAACUGACACCUGUGUCCUCCCAGUGAGUGGAACUGGUUCUUGUUUUCAAUGGUUUUAGACUUUAGGCACAUCAAACUACUGCCAUUUAUUUCUAUACAUUCGAUAGCCUUCUUAAUGGAGACACGAUUCAAGGAUAUCAAAGGCCAGAGGCUAGAAAGUGGCCGCCUGCAGUUUUAGUAGACAGUGCUGUCACAGCAGUGGAGAUUUUAGGCACUGUGGGGCUUCUAGACACUUAUUUCUUGAGAUGCUGAGAUGAGUGCAGACAGCAUUUAGUUGCUAAUGUUAGGGACCAUUUUCUGCUCUUUAGUAAAAAAAGGUCUUCUAUCAACUUACCAAGUACUGUACUUUUACAUACACACCUUAUAUAUGGCAUCUUGUUUUAACAGUGUUCACAACCACUGUAUGGGAGAACACUGAAGUUGAUGUUUGGGAAUCUGAGCUGUUCACACAGCCUUGCUCGUAACUUCUCUCUUAGUCUUUCUAUGACACAACUUUCCUUGACUGUAAAGUGGGUACAGUAAUACAAGCAUAAUGGGGGGACCUUUGACAGUUCAGCAAGAAAUGUUCGAGUACCCCAAGUGAAUGUUUGUUGCUGCUCAGUAAACAGUCCCUGAAUCCAAAAUGCCUAAAAUCCUCAUUGUCAAAUUAAGCAGGUAAGGAUUUUAGAGUCAACUCCAGCUCUCUCAGAAUAGGUUUUAGUGAUUUUUUUUGUUUAAAUUUACAACCUUAAUCUUGUUUUAUUUCUUUCUAAUUUUAAAAAUUGUGGUACACAGAUAUUUGAUUUUUAUAUGAAAUCUCUUUAUUGAAUACCCUACAUAUUGGGUCCUACAAUUUUAAAAAAAGUGUUUCCUUUUGUUCUGAUUUUGUCUUGGCAAUUGGCUUAGUUUAUUUAACUUAUAGAGUUUACAUUUAGACAGAUCCACUAGGAUAUGCAAGUGUGAAAAAGAUUGGAGUUUGUAGACGUUCUUGUUUUAAGCUGUCAAAAAGGCCUUUGAAAAAGGCAAGAAUGCUACUUCCUCUUCACAGUGUAAAACUGACUUUUUGAGGAAGUAAAAGCAAAACUGUUUGUUAGAACAGCCGUCAUAAAACUGAAGUCAUCGUGAAAAGUGUUAUCAUGACAGAAUGCCUUAAAACUUAGGUGUAGAGUUACAGGCCUCGCAUGGGUAUUUACUGGGGUGAAAGCCCCCCCCCCCCCAUAAGCGUGGGCUGGGGCGGGGGCGGGGGCGGGGGCUCAGUGCUAGAAUGCACGACUGGCAUUCAUGAGGCCUGGGGUUCAAUCCUUAGUCCUAUGGGGGUGUGUGGUUAGAGGAAACCAUUACAAAACAACAACAGAAAACACCAAAUCCCAACCUAUGAAGGUUUCUGAAGAAAAUUGUUUAACAAUAUCAGGUGGAGGAUAGAAAGGAUACAUUGUAAAAUGUCAUUUUAAUUUAACUCGUUUUUUUUUUUUUUCUUUUAGAGUGACAGGACAUUGCUUAAAAGAGGAUGUAGGCCAAACAUAAUUGGAUACAUAUGUGUGUUUUAAUUUAAAACAUACUUGAUUCACCAGUAGAAAUAUAGGGCAAAAUGUAGCAAGGUAAUAGAAAAAUGAAGACCAGAGCAAAACAGCAACAGCAGCAAAAACAGAACAAAGAAAGAGAAAUGAGGGAGGGAAAGGACGCUAGGAGGAGAAAGACUUUUUAAAAAAACUGAACAAAGUAAGUGAGGUUGUGAACAUCUAUAGUUUCACUCUUUGAGAAUAUAAGGAAAGAGGAUCAGGAGUUCAAGGCCAGCCUCGGCUACAUAAGUUUAAGGCUAGCAUGGGCUAAGUGAGACUAAGUUUCAAAAAUUUAAAAUGAAGAUGAGGAAAAAGAGGAG